GACUACUGGGGUAUCUAAUCCUGUUUGAUCCCCACGCUUUCGUGCCUCAGUGUCAAUGACUCCGUAGUAAGCUGCCUUCGCAAUUGGUGUUCUAUGUCAUAUCUAAGCAUUUCACCGCUACAUGACAUAUUCCGCUUACCUCCAGAGUAUUCAAGACAGAUAGUAUCAAUGGCAGUUUCCGGGUUAAGCCCGGAGAUUUCACCACUGACUUAACUGCCCACCUACGCACCCUUUAAACCCAGUGAAUCCGGAUAACGCUUGCACCCUCCGUAUUACCGCGGCUGCUGGCACGGAGUUAGCCGGUGCUUAUUCCUCUGGUACCGUCAAGUGGGAAAGAAUUCCCUUUUUUCGUCCCAGAUAAAAGAAGUUUACAAUCCAGAGGACCUUCAUCCUUCACGCGGCAUGGCUGGUUCAGACUUUCGUCCAUUGACCAAUAUUCCUUACUGCAGCCCCCCGUAGG
rnacentral:rRNA from 1 species